UACGUAGGGUGCAAGCGUUGUCCGGAAUUAUUGGGCGUAAAGGGCUCGUAGGCGGUUUGUCGCGUCGGGGAGUGAAAACUCAGGGCUUAACCCUGAGCCUGCUUCCGAUACGGGCAGACUAGAGGUAUGCAGGGGGAGAAUGGAAUUCCUGGUGUAGCGGUGAAAUGCGCAGAUAUCAGGAAGAACACCCGUGGCGAAGGCGGCUCUCUGGGACGGUACUGACGCUGAGACGCGAAAGCGUGGGGAGCGAUCCGG
rnacentral:rRNA from 1 species